rnacentral:rRNA from 1 species
UACGUAGGGGGCAAGCGUUGUCCGGAAUCAUUGGGCGUAAAGCGCGCGUAGGCGGCCCGGUAAGUCCGUUGUGAAAGUCAAAGGCUCAACCUUUGAACGCCGAUGGAUACUGCCGGGCUAGAGUCCGGAAGAGGCGAGUGGAAUCCUGGUGUAGCGGUGGAAUGCGCAGAUAUCAGGAAGAACACCGGUGGCGAAGGCGGCUCUCUGGGCCUUACCUGACGCUGAGGAGCGAAAGCGUGGGU